GGUUUGUGGCUUAGUGGUAGAGCACUCACCUAGCAUGGGUGAGUCACUGGGUUCAAUCCUCAGCACCA
rnacentral:tRNA from 1 species